GACGAACGCUGGCGGCGUGCUUAACACAUGCAAGUCGAACGGAAAGGCCCUGCUUUUGUGGGGUGCUCGAGUGGCGAACGGGUGAGUAACACGUGAGUAACCUGCCCUUGACUUUGGGAUAACUUCAGGAAACUGGGGCUAAUACCGGAUAGGAGCUCCUGUUGCAUGGUGGGGGUUGGAAAUUUUCGGCGGUUGGGGAUGGACUCGCGGCUUAUCAGCUUGUUGGUGGGGUAGUGGCUUACCAAGGCUUUGACGGGUAGCCGGCCUGAGAGGGUGACCGGCCACAUGGGGACUGAGAUACGGCCCGGACUCAUACGGGAGGCAGCAGUGGAGAAUAUUGCACAAUGGGCGGAAGCCUGAUGCAGCAACGCCGCGUGCGGGAUGACGGCUUUCGGGUUGUAAACCGCUUUCGCCUGUGACGAAGCGUGAGUGACGGUAAUGGGUAAAGAAGCACCGGCGAACUACGU
rnacentral:rRNA from 1 species